AAAGCUCCUCCUCGCUCUCCCUCUCGAACUCAUGCCCCGGGAAGUUCUCUUCUCACAGAGCCAGCCAGGGAGCAUUUCGCAAUGGCAGUUUCCACAUUCCCAUCGGGUGGGGACAGAAGGGUGGCCUCGGACAGACUGGCGGCCGGGGGAUGCGUCAGGACCGUGCAGAGGGAGCGCCGGGCUGGCCGCCCCCGCUCCGCUUGGCCUUUUCCUGUUCACAGGCUCCUGCACAAUGAUCCGAGCUGUAGCCAUAGCGACGACGUGGAAGGAGGCUUUUUUUUUUUGUCUACAUAAGUUACAACAAAAUAUAUAUGAGGAAAACAACCCUUCCCCCUCCCGUCAUCUUAUAAAGAGCCUUCGAUGUCGAUGUAAUUCAAAAAGCCAAUGCAAACUUUUCCCGUGAAAAAGCACAUGGGCGCUUUACUGCAUUCCUGCCCGGUGUUUUGUCCUGGGAGAGCCGCCGGCCCUGGAGCCCGGCCCGGGGCAGCCGAGCUGUCCGCUCAGGGCAGGCGCCAGCUCCGCACGCAGCGGGACUCGGGAAAGCGCGGCCUAAUUCCCGCCGGGCAGCGCUGCCUCGGGCUGCAGGCCAGCCCAAGGGUGUGUGUCGUGCCUCCCUUCCUUUGAGAUUUACUCCAGGCCAAAGCAAGAAACAAAAAGCUCCAGGGGAUAAUUAGCUUGUGAGGAUGGGAAACACCAUGUUCAGAAACUGCUCUUAGGACAAAUGAAAUAGAUCAAGUGAAUAAAUCAGUGCCUAAAUCUCCAUCACAGAAGCAAGGACCCCUUUUCAUUGCCUUGUUACAAGUAAGUUGUUCUCUAUGAAAUUUAUUUAAAAUCUCAAAUUAAUUUCCUUUUCCUGAAGUUUAAAUGUUUAAACACCAAAAUGUUUAAAGAAUGUCUCACCUAGAGCAGUCAAAAUAAAACUCAUUAUGAAAUGAUAACAAGACUUUAGUGUUACAGUAGCACCUUGAGUGAAAUCAGGGCUUGGAGGGCUGUGCUACUGGGUGCCUUCCCACCUCCAGCUUUGUGCAUCCCGGAGAAACAGGUUUUCCUCUUACACAGCUGCAAGUUCCCCCCAAAAAUGUCCCUUAAGCUUUAACCCGGGGAGAAGUGAGUGGCCCCCUCCAACUCUACUGCUGAGCUGGGAGUAGGAAAGGGACGAAAGGAGAAAGGGAUUGGUAAGAAACCAAUCCUUACUAGUGCGGGGAGAAAAUCAACAAUGGAGAGUGUGCAUCAAAAAAUCCACUGUAGGUUUUCACUGUGCCCUUUUCAAACCAUAGUGCACAUGUUUGCUCACUCUUGUGUUGAUUUUUCUUUUUUUUCUUGUCCCCAUCCUGCAGUCAGUGUGGAGGGAAGGUCAGGUUUGGGGAGCUCACCUGGCCAAGGGUACCACAAGAUUCCCCAGUCAGGACAGCUGUCUCCUGUAGCUGCCUUCACAUGAGCAGGAAACAAAAUGUAAGAAAAACAAACACGAUACCAACCUCUUCAUAAACACUCAUAACCUUGAAUAGGUUCCUGUUAUGCAAGGCACACCCAACACCCUUUCAGGGUGCUGCAGGGCACCAGAAGUGCUGCAAAGCUGCUGUUUCCAGGAUUUUAGGUACAGCCACCCAGAUCUGCAGCCUCUCCCACAAUGGGGGAGAAGCUGCUGCUGUGCCAGGAUGAGGAGACAAUCUGCAGGCACCUGUGCCAGCACUGGGUGAUGUGGGACAUCACCUAUGGCCCCACAUACCACAUGUGUAGAAAUAAGGGCUCCAGGAGCACCAGGAGUGCUCCAGGCACGCUGGUGCAGAGCUGUAGUACCCUGCUCUGGGUCAGAUGUGGCCAUUGAGUUAGCACAGCCAUCAUCAGUAAAAAUUAACCUGGUUCACAACCUUGAAGUUUAAAAUAAAUUACAUUUUUAAAAAGAGUGAGGCUAUUGUUUUCCAGCUCACAAAAUAGUAAUUGACCAGGUUUUAAGGAAACACUGUUCCAAAAUUCCAAAGUGAAAAGAGCAGCUAGUGAUAAUCAUAUAUGAGGAGCUUGAGCAUCUGUAUAUGAGAAACCUUGAAAGCAGGGAUGAUGAGGUGCCAGAAUUCCUCAAGAAAAUUA